rnacentral:tRNA from 1 species
UAGGCCAAGGUCCGCUGGCUGGGGCGGCUAGUUGUUAACUAGUUUUAUUACGGGAUCGAGGCCCGUUGGUCUAG